rnacentral:rRNA from 1 species
GACGAACGCUGGCGGCGUGCUUAACACAUGCAAGUCGAACGGAAAGGCCCUGCUUUUGUGGGGUGCUCGAGUGGCGAACGGGUGAGUAACACGUGAGUAACCUGCCCUUGACUUUGGGAUAACUUCAGGAAACUGGGGCUAAUACCGGAUAGGAGCUCCUGCUGCAUGGUGGGGGUUGGAAAGUUUCGGCGGUUGGGGAUGGACUCGCGGCUUAUCAGCUUGUUGGUGGGGUAGUGGCUUACCAAGGCUUUGACGGGUAGCCGGCCUGAGAGGGUGACCGGCCACAUUGGGACCGAGAUACGGCCCAGACUCCUACGGGAGGCAGCAGUGGGGAAUAUUGCACAAUGGGCGGAAGCCUGAUGCAGCAACGCCGCGUGCGGGAUGACGGCCUUCGGGUUGUAAACCGCUUUCGCCUGUGACGAAGCGUGAGUGACGGUAAUGGGAAAAGAAGCACCGGCUAACUACGUG